rnacentral:lncRNA from 1 species
ACAUUGGUCAUGCUAUAGGUGCCAAUUAUCCUACUAGAAGGGAGAAGUCAUGAUGGAGGGGUAAAAUUUGAAGGUAGGGCAAGUUGUUUGAUGUAGGAAAGGUAGAUAAGUUAAUCAUGGAGGUUGAUGUACUGGAUGAAAGGAAGGAUAAUCUUGUAGGUUUAGGAAAAGGCUUCGGGUGAGGGUUGGGCUAGGGAUGAACAAGGGAGGGAUGUAUGUCAUCAGUAAAAUUGUCAUAAGUAAAGAUAAGGGAGGAAGGCAUGUGGGCAAAAGGAAAUUAUCUUUCCUAAAAAAUGACAUACCAUAAUAUUAUUAUCAUUCUAUGGGACAAAUCAAAACAUUUAUAACC